GACUCCUACGGGAGGCAGCAGCUAAGAAUCUUCCGCAAUGGGCGAAAGCCUGACGGAGCGACGCCGCGUGAACGAAGAAGGCCGUGAGGUUGUAAAGUUCUUUUCGCAGGGAGGAAUAACCAUGGCAGGGAAUGGCCGCGGGAUGACGUUAAUCGAGGAAUAAGCCCCGGCUAAUUACGUGCCAGCAGCCGCGGUAACACGUAAAGCGUUGUUC
rnacentral:rRNA from 1 species